rnacentral:rRNA from 1 species
CAGUCGCCGCGGUAAAACGUAGGUGGCAAGCGUUGUCCGGAAUUAUUGGGCGUAAAGGGCUCGCAGGCGGUUUCUUAAGUCUGAUGUGAAAGCCCCCGGCUCAACCGGGGAGGGUCAUUGGAAACUGGGAAACUUGAGUACAGAAGAGGAGAGUGGAAUUCCACGUGUAGCGGUGAAAUGCGUAGAGAUGUGGAGGAACACCAGUGGCGAAGGCGACUCUCUGGUCUGUAACUGACGCUGAGGAGCGAAAGCGUGGGGAGCGAACAGGAUUAGAUACCCCUGUAGUCCCUGUCUCUUAUAC